rnacentral:lncRNA from 1 species
UUUCCUUCAAGCUGGUGAUGGAGUCUUUGGCGCGGACCAAUCCACUGUUGACCCCACUCUGGGGAAGAAUGGGAGACAGGGCUGUCUUGGACCAGCAGAUAGAGGACACAAUGAAACAGAAGAAGCCUGAAUCCUUGACAUGGAGCCACCAUACUCCAUUCCAACCACCUGUGAAGACUUUCAGGGGAACGAUAGCCUCAAUGUCAUAAGCAGCCACCUAUGAAGAGGCCCAUGUAGCAAGGAAUUGAGGCCUCCAGCCAAGGGCAGGUGAGUGCCCCAUUUUGGUAGCACAACCUCUGGCCCCAGUCCAACCUUCAGGUGACUGCAGCCCCAGCCAAAAUCUUGUUUGCAACCUCGUGAGACGCCCUGAGCCAGGCCCACCCAGCUGAGCCCCUCCAAGUUUGUUGUUUGAAGUUUUGGUGUAAUUGGUUUCACAGCAAUAGAAAGCAUUACACAAAGUGUCUUUCUAACCUGAAGACUCAGAAGGUCUUGGGUUUCCUGUGGGUAAUUGUUCUGGAAACCAAGGCAACAGGACCUAGGGCCAACUAAUUUCUCCCAGUUACUAGCCGUAUGACCUCAUGGAGAGGACUUCACCUCUCUGUGCCUCUGCUUCCCUACCUGUGAAAUGGAGAUAUAACUAACAACUACCUUCACAGGGUUCCCAUUGUCCUUCCUCCUACCUGGAAACUGACACUCUCUCAACCAGGGUCUCCAUCACCGCCUGGUUCUCUGUCCCCCUCUUUCCAGUUCUCUGUCCCCACCCAGCCCCUGUGUCUGUUCCUUCUCUCUCUGGGUCUCUAUCCCCCUCCUCUAUUUCUGGUCUUCUGUCUCACCCUGAUUCAGCUCUGUCCCCCAAAUCUCAGAGUCUCUGACUUAUUUUUCCUGAGUCUCUGCCUUUCUACUCUUUAGGUCUCUGUCUUCUUUU